rnacentral:rRNA from 1 species
AGGACGAACGCUGGCGGCGUGCUUAACACAUGCAAGUCGAGCGGAAAGGCCCUUCGGGGUACUCGAGCGGCGAACGGGUGAGUAGCACGUGAGUAAUCUGCCCCUAGCUCUGGGAUAGCUCCGGGAAAACCGGGAUUAAUACCAGAUACGACCACUUUAGACAUCUGCUGUGGUGGAAAGAAUUUCGGCUAGGGAUGAGCUCGCGGCCUAUCAGCUUGUUGGUGAGGUAACGGCUCACCAAGGCGACGACGGGUAGCCGGCCUGAGAGGGCGACCGGCCACACUGGGACUGAGACACGGCCCAGACUCCUACGGGAGGCAGCAGUGGGGAAUAUUGCGCAAUGGGCGAAAGCCUGACGCAGCGACGCCGCGUGGGGGAUGAAGGCCUUCGGGUUGUAACCCCUUCAGCAGGGACGAAGCGAAAGUGACGGUACCUGCAGAAGAGCGCGGCUACUACGUGCCAGCAGCCGCGGUAA